rnacentral:rRNA from 1 species
AUGCCACAUGGGCCUAAGCCCAGCACCGGUCCGGUGGUGGAGGUGGAGGUGGAGGUGGAGGCUCCGUCGGGCUACGCCACGGCCGGCAAGGUCCUGUUCGUCGCGGCCGGGGCGUUCGCGGGCGUCCUGCUGGCCCUCAUCGCGCUGCACCUGUACACCAGCGGCUGGCGCCGGCGCGCGCGAGAGGGUCGCCGCCUCCACCGCAGCCUGGCCAUCUACGUCGAGGCGCCUUUGCUGCGGCGGCUCGACCCCCUCGACCCCGCGGUGCUGCGCGCGCUCCCCGUGGUCCCCGCGGCCGUCGGCGCCGGGGACUGCGCGGUCUGCCUCGCCGAGUUCGAGCGCGGCGAGGAGGCGCGCGCGCUGCCGCGGUGCGGCCACCGGUUCCACGUCGAGUGCAUCGACGCCUGGUUCCGCGGGAACUCCACGUGCCCCCUGUGCCGCGCCGCCGUCGAGGCGCCGGACUACGCCGAGGCCCGUCCCGUGGUGCGCGUCGAUGUGGCGGCCGACGACGACGCCGCGGCCAAGGGCGGAGCGCCGGCGACAGGGAGGAUGUCCAGCGGCACGGAGCUUGACAAGACGAGGCGGGUCUCUGCUUCCACCCGAUCCGCUUCCUUCUGA